AAAAUUCAAUGGUAUUAUAAUUAUUACAUAAUAUAUUUUCUACUACAUUUUUUAAACAACUACGCUAAAUUUAAUAUUGAAAAUGAUUUGUUGAGGAUUAUUAUUUUACGUCAAACUACAAGACGUAUUGUAAGAAGUAUGUUGGUUUCGUCUCGUAGGAUAUCUCUGAUGUUAGACCAGCCACUCGACAACAGGCUUAGUGGUCCAAGUGGUCUGGUAAGGUCACAGCGUGCAGAUUGCUGGAUCCGCUGGAGGCAGCUGCCGGGAGUGAUUAUGAACUUGUAAAUGAUGUAGAGCGGUAUGCAAGAUACAGUGGUGCCGGUCAUCACCCAGCCCACCGUGAUAGACCAGGGUGGGUAAGUGUACUCCCCGCCAAGCAUCUCCUGGUGAGCGAGGACGGAGAACACGAAAAGAACUAGCAGGAACACGGGGCUGAGGGCAGAUAACGCUCUCCAGAACCAGCCGGGGCUGUGGCCUAGCAUGCUCUUCACGUCUUCAGAGAAGCGAUCCACGCCGUAUACCCAGCAGACACCAGCGGCCUCCGCGAACACCACAAACAGAAUAGCCAGCCCAGGACCGUACACGUUUAGAAGAUCCACCAGGAAUACUCCUCCCUGUACCACUGGCAGCGGCCUGCUUAACGUAAAACCAGCUUACGAUUGGCCAACAAUUGAUGUCAAACCUUAGUUUUCUUUUCGAAGUUCCAACGAGUCUGCAGUCUUUGAUAAUGAUAUGUCGCAGUGCUGUAGAUAAUCUCAAGGAAAGAGUUGCCAAAGGCUUAGAGCCGCGGAAAUUGGACGUCAAAAAUGAUCUUUGGAUACUGUUGUGAACGCUGUUUUUUAUUUAUUUUUAUUGCUUAGAUGGUUGGACGAACUCACAGCCCACCUGGUGUAAAGUGGUUACUGGAGCCCAUAGACAUCUUCAACGUAAAUGCGCCACCCACCUUGAGAUAUAAGUUCUAAGGUCUCAGUAUAGUUACAAGGUUGUAUGAAUAAAUUCAGAAGACUGACACAAUAUGUGUGGCGUGAAUGUAAAAAAGAGGAACAGCUGGUGUCUUUGUUCAUUUCGGUGAAAUUAAUUUACGCUGUUCUAUUCUGAACGCUAUUUCAUCUGCGGUAGAUAGUGGAUAUUAGUAGCGUUACCUUUCACAUCGAUUCGACGUAGCCUGGUCAGUGUACUGGGUAUUUAAUCAAAGCGCCCCAUCGCUUAGAGCAGUCCAGGUCAUGCCGUCAUGAAUAAUGCAGUGAAUACAUCACGCGUGAUAUCGUAUUGUUUAUUCAGCGAAUGAUAAUGGUGAGAUUUACCGUUUGGUCUUAAGAUUCGUUUUUAAAACGUGUGGGUCAUCAAUGCUCACGUAUGCAGCAAUGUUAAGCGUAUACCUAACCGUGUGCUUAGUACAAUUUUUUUAACGUUCUCGAUGGCGUAAAAGUUAACUCAAAUUUGUAUGCAGUUGGAACGGCGUCCCUAGCAGCAAACUUAAGAAAACCUUCCAACUCCAUGCAAAUUUGAGAUAACUUUAAUAAUAAUAUACAUAUAUUUAUGUUACUUUCUUUUUCUUCUUUCUUAGAAUUUAUAGAAAAAAAAAUUAUAUGAACACUUACAAUAAACAGAAAUAAAACGUCUCUAAUUACAAUAAAUAUAA